GACCGCAGCCCGCUGGAGGUGCCGGGGGCGAAAUGCUGGCGUCUGCUCCUCCGUCUCCCAGAAUCCUGCCCUGGAAAAAACCAGCGCCAACCGCCGGUUUAACUGAGGACGGAUUUAAGGCAUUACGAAAGACAGCUUUCCCCUUUGCUCGGCUCUCCUUCUCUCUCCUGCUGCCCUGUGAAGAGGUGUCUUCUGCCAUAAUUGAAGAGGAAGACAGAGCUCUUACCAGGGGGAGGCAGAGAUGGCACAGCAAGAGACAUGCCCCCAGAAUGCCACCAAUGCCCCAGGACAGGCCCACCCAUGGGACCAGGUUAUCGGGAUAACCUGGGAGGAUGGGGUGGAAUCUGAGGGGUGAGCCUUCUUCCCCAGGCUGGAAGUGGGCGACACGAGACUGGCACCUCUACAUCUGAUUGUCCCCCAAACCCAGCAUUUAUGUCGUGAGCAAAGAAAGAAAUCAUGUUACUUCUUCCAGCUGAUGUUCCACUUGUUUCUUCUGCUGUUUCUGUGGGGAGAGUCAAAUUCAGGUGACUGAGGGUGGCCCCCUCAGCUCUAUUCCCCAGACCAGGAAGCGGUAGGCAGGGGCCAGGAAUGGAUUUUAAAGGCAAAGUUCUCAGACCCAAUGGCAACACAAACUGGUCAACUCUCCUCAAGCUCCCAAGGACACAGGAUGUGGGUCUUUGUUGGUUUUUGCCCACAGCCACAGAACUCAAAGUCUGAAUCUGGAUUCUCUCAAAAGGACAGUAACAUAAACCUCCAGAGACGGAGUCUGAGAAAGGCCCACCCUUCUGCCAGCUUGUGAUUUAGAAAGAUAGAUUUCUCCCCCUUGGUAAGAGAAUGUACUGCCAAUCAACAUGGCUGCUUGUCAGUUCUACUUCUUGGUAAGACUUUUAGUUUUGUGAUUUUCUCCAAGGUGGACCACUUACCAGAAAACCAACAAAAAACCAAAUUGGGCACUGCACACCAGACCCUUGGGAGGCACCAUUCCACAAAACCCACUCAACUAGGGCCUCCAGUGAGGCCCUAUUCUGAGCCAGUCAAUUUGCCUUGAAUCAUUUUGUCCCUUAUGAUCUGGAGUUGCUCGCCUAUAUUCUCUUUUUGCAACUAUAGAAGGCAGUCUAGAUCAAGGAUCUCAACCUAGUCUGCAUGUGAGAAUCACCGGCUGGAAUUAGGGGUGAGAAUGCGUAAAGGGCUUUACAAAAAUUACUGAUGCCUACCCAAAGCAAUUAAAUCAUAAUCUCCAUAAAGUAACACUCAGGCACUAAUAUUUUUUAAAGCUUCUCAGUGAUUCCAAUUCGCAGUCAAGUUUAAGUAUCACUGGUCUAGGUAAUGCCAGAUGGACAGUGGCAUUGUUGCAAGCCAAGACUAGUAGAAGCUGGGAAAAAAAAACUGCCCAUGGCCGGGUUUUCUUUGGCCCACAUUUAAUUAAGAGAAUUCACAUGAAGUCUGGAUUUCACAGGCUCCUCUCAGAGCCCAUCUACUCCAGGGUACUCUAUUUCUAAAAUAUUUACUUGGCUCUUGUUGACAUUUCAGUUUGAGACUCCUGGAUUACUUGAGACCCCUGAAUUACUAUGGUAAUAAGGUUGUUGUGGUAUUGAUAGAGCUGCUACAUAUCAAUGUGUGACUGAUAUACAAACUUUAACUGGCUCCUACCCUGAAAAUAGUCCUAAAUAAGCAUAUCUGUGGCCCUAAAUGAUAGCCUGAAAACUGCUUUUCGCACAUAACUCAUAUUAUUUUUUCCCAUCCUAAAUGCUACCGCCUAGAGAAAGGUCAACAAUAGUUGCCUUAAAAAUUGGACUCAACUCCACACAAAAGCAAAAACUAAAAACCUAAAAGUUGUCUGUUUACUCCCCUGGUAGGCACUAUUUGAUUGAUAUCCAACUGAGUAUUUCUGAGUUGGCUAUUUGAUCUUGGGUAACUACAGAAGCAAAAUCCCUAAAAUAAACCAGAUAUAACCAACUUUAUCCCCAAAGAUAUAUGAAAAAUCUGAGGGGCCCACUUAUCUUCCUGUUUCUGAAGGAGCCAAAAUUUUCUCAUAAAACUCACUGCUUAUCAUCUUUUUAAAGCCUCAAAGGCUGAGAUCCAAUGGAUAUGGGAUGUUCUGUGCAUCCUGUAACAAUUUCCUGCAGACUAUCCAAAAUUCUUUACAAUGGAAAUUCAUUUGAAUAACUAAACCAACAACUGCAAAUUACUUGGGUACUAUUAAGCAAAUCAUACUAAACCACUUAUUCUCAACUACUGUGUUGCAAACUGCAACAAAUGAAAGAUCAGAGAUAGUAUAGAGCAACCUCUAACAGUAGCAGUGAUAGGCAUUUAUAAUAGUCUUUAAUGUGGUUUAAAAGUACAAUAU
rnacentral:lncRNA from 1 species